UGGUGUAUAUAUAAAUGAAAUUUGGAGAGUUUAUUGGUGUGCUAGUUAUAAAUGUGUAUAAAAUUUUUAAGAUCAAUCAAACAAUUAGAUUGAAGUAUAUGAGAGUUUUUGUGGGUUGAGGUCUCAGAAAUUGGAGUUUGAGGGUUAGUAAGUGUUUCUAAGAUCUUUAGCAAUCUGUCAAUUGGUUUGAAAUGAGAUUUUUUUGUAUGAAUACUAGACUUGAUUUUUAACAUUUGGGUGAAAUUUGAGAGCAAUUUAAUAGUUCAAGAAGGAGAUAUUGGCAUUGGAAGUUUUGCAUUUAGGUUGGAGUAUGAGGCCACCCAACACCCAAUUGGAUUAUCAUGCAUUUUCUCUCAAUUGGUAAGUGCAAUCAAUUUUAUCUUUCUUAUGCUUGUUUCUAACUAAGUUAUCAAGAAGUGUGCAAAAUUUGAGUUGACAUCAAUAGUCCAAUUAUUAGUUGUUGAGGUUUUAAUUUGCUAUAAGACUUGAUAAGAGUUUGUUUAAGAUUUAGAAUUUGAUUAGAAUUUGAUUAGGAUUUGAUUUAAAAAUUGUCUAGGAUUUAGGAUUUUAUUAGGAUUUCAAUUAGAGUUUGACCUAGAAUUUGGUUAAGAUUCAAUUAGGAUUUGAUCUAAGGUUUGAUUAAGGUUCAAUUAGGGUUUUAAUUAAGAUUUGAUUUAGAGUUUGAUUGAAGUUUAUUAGAGCUUUAGUUAGGAUUAAAUUAUGGUUUGAUUAGGAUAUAUUAGGAUUUCUAUUUUUAGUAUUUCUUUAGG
rnacentral:lncRNA from 1 species